AGGUCCCGGCGCCCAGAGUCGCCGCGCGGCCGCCGGUGAGCCGCAUGGAGCCCCGGGCGGCGGACGGCUGCUUCCUGGGCGACGUGGGUUUCUGGGUAGAGCGGACCCCUGUGCACGAGGCAGCCCAGCGGGGUGAGAGCCUGCAGCUGCAACAGCUGAUCGAGAGUGGCGCCUGCGUGAACCAGGUCACCGUGGACUCCAUCACGCCCCUGCACGCGGCCAGUCUGCAGGGCCAGGCGCGGUGCGUGCAGCUGCUGCUGGCGGCUGGGGCCCAGGGAGUUCCGAAUGUGUGAGGCUUCUUAUUGACGUCGGGGCCAAUCUGGAAGCACACGAUUGCCAUUUUGGGACCCCUCUGCACGUUGCCUGUGCCCGGGAGCACCUGGACUGUGUCAAAGUGCUGCUCAAUGCAGGGGCCAACGUGAAUGCGGCAAAGCUUCAUGAGACGGCCCUUCACCACGCGGCCAAGGUCAAGAAUGUUGACCUCAUCGAGAUGCUUAUCGAGUUUGGCGGCAACAUCUACGCCCGGGACAACCGCGGGAAGAAGCCGUCUGACUACACGUGGAGCAGCAGUGCUCCCGCCAAGUGCUUCGAGUACUACGAAAAGACACCUCUGACUCUGUCACAGCUCUGCAGGGUGAGCUUGAGGAAGGCCACUGGCGUCCGUGGGCUGGAGAAGAUCGCCAAGUUAAACAUCCCGCCCCGGCUCAUUGAUUACCUCUCCUACAACUGAGUUGCAGGCGGGGUCCGGACCGUGCCUGCCCCCGUUGUGCCCAGCAUUGCCCAGGUAAGGGCUCUGCCUGUUCCUCUGAAGCAGCGUGAUUGCUGUAGAUAGAACAAUGCUCCUUCCAGUCCCUUCCUGCGAUCCUGUUUAGGCUUCUCUCCUGGAUCCUGGAUAAUGUUUCCAGGGUGCAGGGUGUUGGGAAGGCCUGCGCCUCAGGUCACAAUUGUGGGUGUGGCCCUGCGCUGUUCUACGGAACCUACCCUCUCAAUGGGCGUGGGCCCAACCGUCCAGUUUUCCUCUUUAAUGGACCGUCCUCAAAGGCACUCUCAGCACAGAUGGCGUGGGGAGCAUAGAGGAGGCUGGCAGAGCUGGGGACUCAGGGCAUUGUUGCUGAUUCCCACUCGCCUGGGCAGCCUGCUGCAGAUGCACAGGCCCCAGAUGCAGGCCACCACCUCCGGGUUGGCACCAGGACUGCCCUCGGUGCUCAUAGGGAAUGGCUGGGCCCACAGAAGGUCGGCCUGGGAUGUAGCCUAGGACUGGUGCUCUGCUGGCUGCUGUGUGGAUGCUUUUCCUGGAGCACUUUCCAAGGCAUCCCCCAGCCCCGAGCCUGCGCACAUCUGCCACUCGGGCUUUCUGUGGGUCUUUGUGGGGGAAGGCCCUGGCUCUGUAUUCCUCACAAGUAGCACUGAGUUUCUUAGGAAAUUCGUCUUCAGUAUUAGGUCUUGAACUCUUAUAAAAAGUUUAUAUGUAGGAUAAAAACCUCUUAGAGGACAUGUAGGCGGUACCACUAAGGUUUUGCUAAUGAGCCAUUCAAACCGACAGCAGUGUGAAGGUGUGUCAAGGUGUAUAUUCUCGAGGCUCGGCAUUUUUAGUGCAAAGGGCUGUUUGGAGACUCUGUGGGAAUUGUUUUUCAUCCGUUUCUAUGGUUGUCAAAUGAAUUCUUCACCCACCCUACAGUUUGCUAACUCCUUGAAGCUAUCAAAUUAGUAAGAGAGGCUGCCCGCACCCAGGGGGCACCAUCACCCACUUGUUAUUUGGUUUUGCGGAUACUCAUGGAACAUCUAUCACAUACAACAUUGUCCCAGUGCUUUGAGUUGGAUGGGAAUGGGACUCUGUAGCCAAGGCAGGAUAAGAAAAUCUUGCAAUCCCGUCCUGCAGUAAUAGAAACAGGUCGUUCUGCAUUAUAAGCCAUAGGUGGAGCAUUCAGUAGCCUAUUCAGACUGCAUGGGCUGGCCUACGAGUCUUUGUCUUCAUAAAUUUUAAGAACCCCUCCCACAACAGGGAGUUAAACUGGAGGACCUUUGCAUGAUUAAUUCAGGGAUGAGUGGUUUCUGGGGCAAUGGAGAAUGGGUCAGGCCUGUCCUGGAGACAGUGUGCCCAGAAAAGGGAACGUGGUACUCACCGGAUGCACCCAGCCCGGCCUGAACCUCCCACCACAGACAGUGUGGAACAGAGUGAGCCUGAGCUGCCCAAGGUGAUGCCCUUUGUGCCGUAUGACUGGAGGCCUCUCCACGUGGGUACUUGGGGAUGGGGCCACAAAUCUGGCAAAAAACUUCAUGCUGGCCGCCGUGGGGUUUCUCUUCUCCAGUGUUCCAGCUGUCGUCAUGGCGGGUCUUCGUCUUAAACUGAGAAGAAAAGCAUUCCUGUUUGAUCACCGCCUUAGUUACCAGUUCUGGAUCAGUCAGUGUUUCUGCAUGGAAUAACAACCAUUAAAAAAAGCAUUGGAUUCUGCCCUUUCAUCUUUGUAAGAGAUUCUUGCCUCUAGCAAUGACAUCCUGUGAUGUCUCACAGUAGAGCACUUAGCGCAGAAUCAGGUCCCCACGGCUGUUGCUCAUUAAAAGUGGUGGAAUAAAGUGC
rnacentral:sRNA from 1 species